CCCUAGCCGCUCGUCGCCCUAAAAAUCCCCUUAGCCCCAACAUUAUUUUCCUUCAAGUGUGCCCAAAUUGGUAACAUUUCGACCUUCAUCUUCAUCUUCUUAAUCAAGUUUAAGGUAAGUUCUCAUAAUUUACUUGCUUGGAUGUACAAUAUAAUCACAUUAGUUAUUUUGUUGGGGAAUUAGUGUGUGUAGAUUCAUUAUUGCUCAUUCCGUGACAUUUUACUUGCCAGUUCUUUAAUUUUUUUGGUGGUUUUCAUAAAUGAUUUGUUUUGUGUUGCUGAGUGUUUCAUGAAUGUACGGUUCGAAUGAUAGUAUUAAUUAUAUUUUCAUCCCUUGUUACAACUGUCAAAUUAUCUAGUGCGUAGACAGGGGUUCAUGUGUGGUGGGUUGCGUAAUUCUCGCAUAUUUGGGAAUUACGGAUGCUAGAAAAUUAUUUAUUGAAGGGGUGUAUGAUGUUACUAAACUACUGUGGAUUGGGAGUGCUUAUGCGUACCCACGCUAGCAACUAAGUGUGGGGUGGAUUCCGAUCUCUCACCACCUUAGUGGUAGCUACAUAUUACUAAUUUGUGUGACAUUAAUGUAUGCCUGUGUUUGACAUGCUGAAUGCACUGGUGUCAAAUUAUUGAAGAAGGUAAAGGUGUCAAAUUAUUGAAUGGUUGUGUGGUCAGUAGUAUUAAUGUAGUUUCUAAUCUGUUACGUAAUAGUGAUGAGUCUAUGAAAUGCCACUUCUCUGGGAUGCAUUUUUGUUUGAUGUUGGGGGACUGAUUAUAAUGAUUGUAUGUUGAACAGGGGAAAUUUGAGUACCCUACUCACUCACUAAUGUAUCUAUACUAGCAACUAAGUGUGGGGUAGAAUUAACACUUAGUGUUUUCUAGUUAACCAAAGGUGCAGGUCUGAUGCGUUUAUUGACUAUUGUGAUUAAUAGGUACAAUGUCUAGCCGGCAACAAAAGAGCAAAAGGAAGAAUGUGGUUGGCUCUUUUGAGCCCGGUAGAAAAAAGAGUAGACAUGCUAACCGUGUGCCCCAGCCCUACCUAUCCCACGUGGUCAAUCCAGGAGGUAUGGGACUAAAGUAGUUGUGGAAACUGGGAGGAAAUAGUAUUCCCAACACAAGGAGUCUAAGUAUUCGGCGGACCAGUUCAUUGAUAGGGUCAACUUGCUAAAGGAGUACCCGAGUAUGGUGCGCUUAAUUGAGGCACUGCACAUGCAUUUCUUGCUUGACCAGCUAUCUGAGUGCAACUUGAGUCUUGUGUGGGAAUUUUAUGCCAAUUAGGACCCGCAGAACAAGGAUGCAGAAUUUGAGAUAAGGGGUUGUGUGGUUACUUUUACUGCCAACACUUUGAAUAAACUCUUAGGUACGUCCGUGCUGGAUGCUGAGCCAUUGAAAAGACUGAAUAUUAAGCCACCGUUCUAACACAUUCACCAUCUCUUAUGUGGUACACAUUUGACUGCUCGGUGGAUUCGUCAUAAGAAGGGUAGCACUCACGCAUCACUCCCCUUUGCUCACAUGAACAGGGAAGCUCGCUUAUGGGCCAAAUUAUUUAUGCUUACCUUGUCCAUGGGACGCAUAUGACAAAAGUGAUGCAUGACAGGGUGUGUAUCAUUUAUGCCCUUAUGUACGCAGAUAUUGAGUUGAAUGUCGACGCUAUUAUCUUCUCCACCAUGAGGAAAGGCAGGUUUUUGGGUGGUCGUCGAUAUGGUUUUAGUGGUUGUUAACUCAAUUUCUGUGGCAGCAGGGUGUACCUGAGGAGGAUGUUGAUUACAGACCACUAGUUAUUCUUAGACUCCUAAAUCUCUCUCGUACUAAGGAGCCUGUCUCUUAUACUGCCACAUUGACUAUGCCCGAGCAUCAGGCUCGAAAUGAUGAGAUCACCACCCGGAUGUAUAGGUUGAUGAUGCUGCAGUUGAGGAUUGGGGGCGUCCAGCAACCCAACAGGAGAAUGUGAUAUAGAGUUGGACAAUCCACUCAGGCGUGAUGCCUGGACCAUGCUACGGAUAGGCCCCGACUUUGUUGAUCCUAUUGAUGAUGAUGUCCCAACAGAUGAGGAGCGACAGUUAUGCUAUUCAGAUGAUGAGUCAGAAGAGGAUGAACAAUCUAAUGAUGGUGAUACAGGUGAUGAUUACAGUGAUGAUGAGGGUGCCCAUGAUAACAUGAUUGCGAGGGUACCAUUUGACUGAUCAGGGAGUAUGACUGCCACCUUGCCAUAUGCUUAUUUGAUAGCACUGGAACAGUGCUUCAUUUUAAGUGUGGGGUGGGGUGGAAUUUCUCAUUCCUUAUCCUUUCCUUUAUUUUAUGUUUUUGUUGGACAAUUUAAUUUUUCUGUUUUGUUUGGAUGAUUUUAUAGCUAUUCGAAACUUUAUGUCUAUAAUAGUUAGUAAGUUUGAAGUUUGGAUUGUUGCAAUUUGCCCUCAAGGCAAUGUUCACAUACUGCUUUUAGUUUAAAGUAUUUUGCUUUUGACCUUAAUGGCAGUAUUUGUGUCGCCCUCUUUGGAAAUUUCAGUUUAAAGUAUUUGUUAUUCCCUUAAGGUAAUUCAAAAUAAAUCAUCAUAGUUAGUUACCUUCCUCUCUGAUAUUGUACCUGAGGAGGAUGUUGAUUACAGACCACUAGUUAUUCUUAGACUCCUAAAUCUCUCUCGUACUAAGGAGCCUGUCUCUUAUACUGCCACAUUGACUAUGCCCGAGCAUCAGGCUCGAAAUGAUGAGAUCACCACCCGGAUGUAUAGGUUGAUGAUGCUGCAGUUGAGGAUUGGGGGCGUCCAGCAACCCAACAGGAGAAUGUGAUAUAGAGUUGGACAAUCCACUCAGGCGUGAUGCCUGGACCAUGCUACGGAUAGGCCCCGACUUUGUUGAUCCUAUUGAUGAUGAUGUCCCAACAGAUGAGGAGCGACAGUUAUGCUAUUCAGAUGAUGAGUCAGAAGAGGAUGAACAAUCUAAUGAUGGUGAUACAGGUGAUGAUUACAGUGAUGAUGAGGGUGCCCAUGAUAACAUGAUUGCGAGGGUACCAUUUGACUGAUCAGGGAGUAUGACUGCCACCUUGCCAUAUGCUUAUUUGAUAGCACUGGAACAGUGCUUCAUUUUAAGUGUGGGGUGGGGUGGAAUUUCUCAUUCCUUAUCCUUUCCUUUAUUUUAUGUUUUUGUUGGACAAUUUAAUUUUUCUGUUUUGUUUGGAUGAUUUUAUAGCUAUUCGAAACUUUAUGUCUAUAAUAGUUAGUAAGUUUGAAGUUUGGAUUGUUGCAAUUUGCCCUCAAGGCAAUGUUCACAUACUGC
rnacentral:lncRNA from 1 species